rnacentral:rRNA from 1 species
UAUAAACAACUUUAUACUGUAAAACUGCGAACGGCUCAUUAUAUCAGCAAUAAUUUAUUUGAUGGUUCCUUACUACAUGGAUAACUGUAGUAAUUCUAGAGCUAAUACAUGCGUAAAGUCCCGACUCUCGCGGGGAGGGAUGUAUUUAUUAGAUAAAAAACCAAUGCGGGUUCUGCCCGGUUUUGUGGUGAAUCAUAGUAACUUUUCGAAUCGCAUGACUUCACGUCGGCGAUAGUUCAUUCAAAUUUCUGCCCUAUCAGCUUUCGACGGUAGUGUAGUGGACUACCGUGGCAUUAACGGGUAACGGAGAAUUAGGGUUCGAUUCCGGAGAGGGAGCCUGAGAAACGGCUACCACAUCCAAGGAAGGCAGCAGGCGCGCAAAUUACCCAAUUCUGACACAGAGAGGUAGUGACAAAAAAUAACAAUACCUGGCCUUUUUAGGUCGGGUAAUUGGAAUGAGUACAAUUUAAAUCCCUUAACGAGGGUCCAUUGGAGGGCAAGUCUGGUGCCAGCAGCCGCGGUAAUUCCAGCUCCAAGAGCGUAUAUUAAAGUUGUUGCAGUUAAAAAGCUCGUAGUUGGAUUUCUGGUAUAAUGCGCCUGGCCCGCGGCGGUUACGCCUGUGAGUGCCGGUGCGCGUUUGCCAUCCUUCUAGAAAACGUUUCUACCCUUCACUGGGCCGGACUCGCGAUCUAGAUCUUUUACUUUGAAAAAAUUAGAGUGUUUAAGGCAGGCUUUUGCUGUGAAUACAUUAGCAUGGAAUAAUAAUCUAGGACUUCGGUUCUAUUUUGUUGGUUUCUAGUACUGAAGUAAUGAUU